UUGACCUCAAAUCAGGUGGGACUACCCGCUGAACUUAAGCAUAUCAAUAAGCGGAGGAAAAGAAACUAACAAGGAUUCCCUUAGUAACUGCGAGUGAAGUGGGAAGAGCUCAAAUUUGAAAUCUGGCAGUCUCUGGCUGUCCGAGUUGUAAUCUAGAGAAGUGUUGCCCGCGCUGGACCGUGUACAAGUCUCCUGGGAUGGAGCGUCAUAGAGGGUGAGAAUCCCGUCUCUGACAUGGACUACCAGGGCUUUUGUGGUGCGCUCUCAAAGAGUCGAGUUGUUUGGGAAUGCAGCUCAAAAUGGGUGGU
rnacentral:rRNA from 1 species